AGGUCGAUAGUAGGGGCCUUAUAUUGUCACAGAGAGUGAUGACUUAAAAUCAUGCUCAAUAGGAUUACGCUGGGAAGCCC